AUGGGUCCAGCCGAAGAAGCUCUCGGAUAUGUAGGCCAGUUUUCCGCUCUGAUCGUUAUGAUCAUGCCAGCCUGCACUACCCUCAGAGAUAUCUGGAAGGAGGGGUCAGUUGGCGAGCGAUCUCCUCUCCCCUUUCUCGCAGCUCUCUUCAACUGCGGCGUAUGGAUUCUCUGCGGUCUGAUCGCCGGUAAUGAGUUUGUGUUCUGGCUCAACAUCAUGGGGGCAUGCGUCCAAGCUUGCUACUUUACCUUCUACCUCGUCUACUCUACGGCUGGCCAACGCCGUUGGUGGAUUGGAGGUAGUAUUGUUACGUUGCUCGUGUACGCAUUUCUGCUUGUUCUUUAUUUCAUGGAGAGGAAAGCUGGGUUCGACUUGCUGUGCGCUGUUAGUGGUAUAGUGUUGGCUGCUUCCCCGCUGCUUAACAUUCCAGCCGCCUGCAAGUCCUUGAACACAAGGUGCAUGCCACCAUUGCCGGUUCCUCUCGCGUCCUUGGUUAAUGGCGCAAUUUGGACAGCUUAUGCCUGUGCGGGUACCAAGGUUCUUCGCUCUAUUGCGGUAUGUUUCUUGUUUUUCCCAAAAUUUGAAUGUGUGUUGCAAACUUGCAGUGGCUUCACCUAA
rnacentral:rRNA from 1 species